GACGAACGCUGGCGGCGUGCUUAACACAUGCAAGUCGAACGGGCCCGCCCCUGUUUUUGGGGGUGGGUUGAGUGGCGAACGGGUGAGUAUCACGUGAGUAACCUGCCCCCUGCUCCUGGAUAACUGCUUGAAAGGGCGGCUAAUACGGGGUGUGCCGGCUGGUCCGCAUGGGCCUGGUCGGGUUAGUUUCAUCUUCGGGUGUUUCGGUGGGGGAUGGGCUCGCGGCCUAUCAGCUUGUUGGUGGGGUGAUGGCCCACCAAGGCGGUGACGGGUAGCCGGCCUGAGAGGGUGGGCGGCCACACUGGGACUGAGACACGGCCCAGACUCCUGCGGGAGGCAGCAGUGGGGGGUAUUGCACAAUGGGCGGAAGCCUGAGGCAGCGACGUCGCGUGAGGGAUGGAGGCCUUCGGGUUGUGAACCUCUUUCUCCGGUGGUGAAGGCCCUGUCCGUUGCGGCGGGGUUGACGGUAGCCGGGUAUGAAGCGCCGGCUAACUACGUG
rnacentral:rRNA from 1 species